rnacentral:tRNA from 1 species
GCCCAGGUAGCUCAGUUGGUAGAGCAGCGGACUGAAAAUCCGCGUGUCGCUAGUUCGAUUCUAGCCCUGGGCACCA